CCUGAGUCGAUUGUUGGUUGUUCCGAGAAGUUUUUGGCCGUUCGCAACUCCGCCCCCUAAUCGGUGUUGGCCGCGCAUGGCACCGGUCGGGCUUGAAAAGACAAUCAAGCCUGUCGAUGACGAGGUACCUAGCGUAGGGUUUUUUUUUCGAUUUUUUUUCGAAAAAAAACUUUACGAUAGGUAUUGAGUCAUCAACAUGCGUGGGGCGGUCGGUUUCGUUGCUUCGGACCUUGCGUAUUUUCUAGAUGGACGUAAUUCGUUAAUCAUUCUUCGUUAGUGACCCGACUUAAUUGCCAUUUGCCAGCGUUUACGAGCGAUGUCGGUUGAGCUUUGCUCCGGCUUAGACUGCAAAAUAUACGUAUUGGGUAGCGUUACGGGCCAUGUUGGUCGAGCUUUGCUCGACCUAGACUGCCGGUAUAAAACGCAGGCAACCGUGGACGAGCGAUGUUGGUUGAGCUUUGCUCCGGCCUGACUGCUAGUUACACGGAUGUAUGUUACUCGGGGCAUGUUUAGCGAAUUCACUGAACUCGAUGUAAAUACACCAGCAAGAGAUGAUGCAACGUAGCUCACCGUUUGGUUUCCUGAUUUCGUAUCGUUCGGUGCAUUCUGGGGCUGUUUUGGCUUUUGGUUGCUUGCUUCGCUUUAGGCAAAGCGGGUGGCUACUAGUCGGGGUGGCUUCGGGGAUGUUCUCCGUAAAGGUGCAUGAGUGGUGUUUGGUUUGUUACGUGUGGUUGGCUGCGGCGCUUGCAACAACUUCCACGCUCUCAUACCUCUUCAGUAGUGCGGCAAGGCUUGUAUCGCCUUGAGCGUAAUGUGGGUUUUCUGUGUUUUAUACCUAAUCAACGGUAUCGGUUGGAUAGAUAAAAAGUUGCUUUUCGCCUUGCGUUGCAUUUGCGGCGUGAGGUGAACCUGAAUGCGUUCUCUUUGGUCCACCUUGUCGCAGCACAAGCUUCGGCAUUGUGGCACAUUGAGUAUUGCUUGGUUUCUUGUAUACGGAACAUAAAGUGGGCAUGGAUCUAACGAUUCUUGUUUGCCCUUGUUUCAGCGUUCUCGCUUCUUUAAUACGACU
rnacentral:misc_RNA from 1 species